rnacentral:rRNA from 1 species
UACGUAGGGGCGAGCGUUGUCCGGAAUGAUUGGGCGUAAAGGGCGCGCAGGCGGCCUGUCAAGUCAGUGGUGGAAUACCAUUUUUCAAGGAUGGAAGUGCUAUAGAAACUGAUGGGCUUGAGUGCAGGAGAGGUUAUCGGAAUUCCCGGUGUAGCGGUGAAAUGCGUAGAGAUCGGGAGGAACACCAGUGGCGAAGGCGGGUAACUGGACUGCAACUGACGCUGAGGCUCGAAAGCGUGGGGAGCAAACAGGAUUAGAUACCCCGGUA